UAGGCUGUUGCGAGGGAGCGCCCUCGGCCACCCUGGCCCGCGCAACCCCGGAACCCGGAGGCCUCUCGGCCCCAGCCCCCUGGCCCGGCCGCUCUCGCUCGGCUCUCGAGGCCCAGUGUGAUCCCAAGUCUUCUUAAAAGUGAAAGAGGAAGACAGGAGAGAAAGAGAUGUGGUAAUAGAAGAAGGUCUGAGACGUGCUAUAUUAAUGGCUUGUAGAUGGCAGAGGGCCAUGAGCCAAGGAAUGUGGGCAGCCUCUAGAAGCUGGAAAAGGCAAGGAAAUGGAGUCUCUCCUGGAUCCCCCAAAGAGGGGAUCUCAACUUUAGCCCAGUAAGACCUGGCUCAGACUUCUAUCCAGAACUAUCCAAUAGGUGGCACAAGGAGCCACUUACACAGGACAAGCGCUGGCCAGCAGAGAACUUGGACUUUCUGUUUCCAGGGGGCCUUCAUCUUGGAGAUGUCCUAGUCAUGUUACACAAUCAUUCCGUAAGUAGCUAUGUAUA